rnacentral:rRNA from 1 species
UACGUAGGGUGCGAGCGUUAAUCGGAUUUACUGGGCGUAAAGCGUGCGCAGGCGGCCCGUUAAGAAAGGUGUGAAAUCCCUGGGCUCAACCUAGGAAUUGCGCUUGUGACUGGCGGGCUCGAGUACGGUAGAGGGGGGUGGAACUCCUGGUGUAGCAGUGAAAUGCGUAGAGAUCAGGAGGAACACCGAUGGCGAAGGCAGCCCCCUGGGCCUGUACUGACGCUCAUGCACGAAAGCGUGGGGAGCAAACAGG